GUGCUUCCUUCGGCAGCACAUAUACUAAAAUUGGAACAAUACAGAGAAGAUUAGCAGGGUCCCUGUGCAAAGAUGACAUGCAAAUUUGUGAAGCAUUCUAUAUUUUU